rnacentral:rRNA from 1 species
CCUACGGGCGGCUGCAGUGGGGAAUAUUGCUCAAUGGGCGAAACCCUGAUGCAGCGACGCCGCGUGAGUGAAGAAGUAUUUCGGUAUGUAAAGCUCUUUCAGUAGGGAAGAAGAAAGACGGUACCUGACCAAGAAGCCCCUGCUAACUACGUGCCAGCAGCCUCGGUAAUGCGUAGGGGCCAAGCGUUAUCCGGGUUUGCGGGGGUUAAAGGGAGCGUCGGCGGGUGGGCAAGUCUGAAGUGAAAGUCCAGGGCUUAACCCUGGGACUGCUUUGGAAACUGUGGAGCUAGAGUGCUGGAGAGGUAAGUGGAAUGCGUGGUGUAGCGGUGAAAUGCGUAGAUAUUAGGAGGAACGCCAGUGGCGAAGGCAGCUUACUGGACAGUAACUGACGUUGAGGCUCGAAAGCGUGGGGAGCGAACAGGAUUAGAUACCCUGGUAGUC